rnacentral:rRNA from 1 species
UCGACACACUAUCAUUAACUGAAUCCAUAGGUUAAUGAGGCGAACCGGGGGAACUGAAACAUCUAAGUACCCCGAGGAAAAGAAAUCAACCGAGAUUCCCCCAGUAGCGGCGAGCGAACGGGGAGGAGCCCAGAGCCUGAAUCAGUGUGUGUGUUAGUGGAAGCGUCUGGAAAGGCGCGCGAUACAGGGUGACAGCCCCGUACACAAAAAUGCACAUAUUGUGAGCUCGAUGAGUAGGGCGGGACACGUGGUAUCCUGUCUGAAUAUGGGGGGACCAUCCUCCAAGGCUAAAUACUCCUGACUGACCGAUAGUGAACCAGUACCGUGAGGGAAAGGCGAAAAGAACCCCGGCGAGGGGAGUGAAAAAGAACCUGAAACCGUGUACGUACAAGCAGUGGGAGCCUCUUAAUGGGGUGACUGCGUACCUUUUGUAUAAUGGGUCAGCGACUUAUAUUCUGUAGCAAGGUUAACCGAAUAGGGGAGCCGAAGGGAAACCGAGUCUUAACUGGGCGUUAAGUUGCAGGGUAUAGACCCGAAACCCGGUGAUCUAGCCAUGGGCAGGUUGAAGGUUGGGUAACACUAACUGGAGGACCGAACCGACUAAUGUUGAAAAAUUAGCGGAUGACUUGUGGCUGGGGGUGAAAGGCCAAUCAAACCGGGAGAUAGCUGGUUCUCCCCGAAAGCUAUUUAGGUAGCGCCUCGUGAAUUCAUCUCCGGGGGUAGAGCACUGUUUCGGCAAGGGGGUCAUCCCGACUUACCAACCCGAUGCAAACUGCGAAUACCGGAGAAUGUUAUCACGGGAGACACACGGCGGGUGCUAACGUCCGUCGUGAAGAGGGAAACAACCCAGACCGCCAGCUAAGGUCCCAAAGUCAUGGUUAAGUGGGAAACGAUGUGGGAAGGCCCAGACAGCCAGGAUGUUGGCUUAGAAGCAGCCAUCAUUUAAAGAAAGCGUAAUAGCUCACUGGUCGAGUCGGCCUGCGCGGAAGAUGUAACGGGGCUAAACCAUGCACCGAAGCUGCGGCAGCGACACUAUGUGUUGUUGGGUAGGGGAGCG